CUGCGAUGCGCUGCGGCCGCGGGCGCGCAGGGAUGGAGUUGUGCCGGUGCCGGGCGGCGGGGGCGAGUGAGGACUAAUCCCAUCCCUGGGCCUGCUCUCUGUUCCCUUCCUGCAUUAGAGAUUGGCUAUAAGGAGAAGGCUGACGGCUGCAGCAUGAAGCGCAUUAUUACCUUGUGAUUCCAUGACCCUCCUCUAUGCAUCCCUAACUCUCGAAAGCUGAUUCAGCUUUCAGCUAGUGCUCUGGUGAGUCCUCUGCUGCAACAGAAGCUCCUAACUGAUGGUUGUGUCUGUGGCUCCCAAGGUCUGAGCCCAGUCUCUCUGCCAUGGGCUGUGCUGGGAUGAGCACCUGCCUCCACCUCGUUCCUUCUGGCAUCUCCCUUCUCCAGUGCCCAGCCCUACACAGGGGCUGGAUACAAAGUCCCCAGAGGCAUGUGCUAUGUUUUGGGGGCUGCUUAUCUGUGGGGGUAGUGUCUCGCUCCCAGUGACCAGCAGAGGAAAAAUCAUUGGAUUCACUAGAUUUGGCCCUAAACACUCUGAUGGAUUAAAGAAGAUGGAGAGGGCUAUUUUCAAGAGUGGGAAUAGGCACAUCCUCAGGCACUGAGUCUGGCCAUGGCCAAAUCUAGACAACUGCUGUGGGUUGGCUUUCUCCAACAUGAACAAUUCUGAUCCUAUGAGUCUAUGGCUCUGGGAUUCUGGGAUUCUGUGUUAUGGGCUCAACACAGCUUGUCCUGAGCUGGAUUCAAGCCAGCACAACCUUGGAGCACACAGCAAAGGGAGAAGAUGAGGAGGUGAGAGGAAACCUUCAGAUCUCCAGCCACAAGCAAAACUCUUCCUCUAUCCUGGCUUGACAUCAACAAAACCUCUGGAAAACUUCUGGGGACCAAAAGGCAAGUGAGAUUCUCCCCUAGAUGUGUUGUUUCCAUGGAAGCCAAGUAAAAGCACUUCUGUGGGCCUGGGGAAAGGAGGCAGCAGCUGGAGCUGGACAUGGGAAGGGACUGCCAGGAGAAAUUGUGACUUUGGAGGCUGUCAGAGCAGACUGGGACAGAUUGUUCCUUGAGUCACCCUGCAUCCACUGCCAUGGUGACCCUGGAACCUGUGCUGUGACUGGCAGGGCCUGGGCUGAGGUUUUGCCCUCUACCGAGCCAGCAGUUUGGGCUGGUGACCCUUCUGGAAGGAGGGAACUUGUAGUGGAUGAGCAGGAAGAGCCACUGGGGAGUGUGAAGAAGCACAGAAAAAACCUUCCAGCAUCCAUUCCUACCCCUUGCCCAAGUAAGGAAUGAAGCUGUGGAGGAAAGAGCUGCUGAACACACCGUCAGAAGGGAGGAGAACAUUAAUUGGUUGAACAGCAGAGUCUGAGCAAUAUGAAAAACUAGGAACGACUAAUUUAUGAGUACAGAUUCUUUCUGGAGAGUGUGACUUAAACUUGGGGAGAAAAUCCAUGUGCCUGGAAUACUAAAAUCAAUAGUUUUAACCUAUUUAGAAAGAAUUGAGUGGGCAAAGAAGGCACAGGAGGGUUAAUCAAUAUCAGAAUUGACAUUGCUGCAUUCCAAGCACCACAAGAAACUGAAGAGAAAGUGACCUCAAAUACAAAUAAAAACCAAAAUAAGGAGUUUCUCCAGACCACCAACACUCACUAGAAAACAGGGGCUACUCACUUCUUAGUCACAUACCUGUAAUAUUUAAGAAAAUUUCCCUGUGCUGUCCUGGGGAAUUUCAACUCAAAUGAUGUGAGCUGCAGAGGUCACAGGGCUGGUUUGGGAUUUUCUGAAUAUCCUAGAAGAGAUUUUCCUAACCAAAACCAGGAGGAUCCUCGACAGGAUCAUCCCGACAGCUGCAGGACUGCUUACAGACCCCAAAACUGAAUACAGCCAGCACAGAGGUGACCCUGUUUGAUUGUACAUGCUGGGCACAGACAGGACUGCCUGAGCUGACAGUGGGUCCCUGAGCUUUUCAGUGUUGUGAGCCAGGUCACCUGCAGGAUUCUAAACAGAAAAUGUGAGUGGUAUUUGGCAACUCCUUGUUUAAAGAAGCUCUGGCCUCUAGGAAAUCUAGUAAAACCUCAGAGUCAGGAAAGAGAAGGUUAUUCUGGCUGAAAAAUGAAGCUCAAAGGACAGUGAAAGUAGGUAAACUCCCAGAAAGAAGGAAGGGAAGGUAAAUAAUAAUGAACAUAAAUCAGCCCCAAGCAGAAGGCUGUCAGGUGAAACCUGUGGCUAGCAGAGCUGAGGGCAACAGGGAUGUGCUCUUUAGAUAUAAGAGACUCAAAGUAGUUGUCUAGACAGAAUAGCAGACAUUAAAAAGAGAAUACAUAAAAGGCAGAUGCUAAAUAUUUAAUUUCACUAUUUUGGGGGGGAAAAAAAGCUGAGUGAAAUAGCCAUGUAAUAUGAUGAUGUGGAAUAUCUUCUGCUCCAACUCAGGAUGUUAAACAGCUGUUACUACAGCGAGAGGAUUUUUAUUUUUGAUCAGCAGCUCCCAAUAUUCAGUGCCUGAGAGUUUUAAAAUCUGUCCCAGGAGCGCCCCAGGCUGGCACAGAGUUUUCCAGAAGACUGAAGCAGUGUUGACUUUGAGCCAAGGAAUAAAUGUCGAUGAGGAGGAUGACUUGCGUAAUUAUAAAUCUGAUUGUUUGAUGUUGAUUUUGCGGGGAAAAAAAAAAUAAUGGAAGAGCUGAUAAGGGACUUGAUUAAUAACAAUUUAAGGAGAAUAACUAAUUACAAUCAACAUGAGUUAAUGGAAAAUAGAUCUUAUUAAAUGAAAUUGAUAUAAUUUUUCAAGAAUGUGAUUAUAGAUUUGAUUGAUUUAGUACAUUUCAUCAACACUGUUACGUUUGACUUCAGCGAGGCAUUUAACUUAAUGUUGUCUCAUUUAUUAGGAAGCUAAAACAAUGUAAAAUCAACACAGCCCGUGCUAAACGGAUGAGGACCCUGGUGAUAGGUUUAGACAUAUCUGAGGAGCAUCCCAAGCAGCCUCCUUUCUGUUCAUCGCUUUUAGCAAACGGUAGAAAAUCAAAACUCAUUACAGUCAAAGUUUGCUGAUGAGAUUUGGAGUGUGGAUGGGUCCGUGCCUUAGAGCUGCUCCUGAACCAGAGGGAAGUGAGCUGCAGCUGGUUUGACACAAAGCCACACUUCCAGGAGCCAGGAUUUCACUGCAGAGAGCACAGAUCCUCCCACACAGCGCUGGAAACUUGAUAAAACAGCGGAGUGAAAUAUCUCUGGUGCAACAGCUAAUGGGACAGUGCAGCUAUUUGUGGUGCCUGCGACUCCAGAAGGAUGGUGAUGAACGGGAGAGGGCACACGGGAAUGACUGAGGCGUCACAAAACAUGCCUUGCAGUGACAGCCUCAAGGACCCCAAUGUGCUUAGCUUAACAAAGGGAAGGCUAAGAGAUGGCUUAAUGACAAUCCAGAUGUAUUCAGACAGGGUACAGGGAUGCAGGGAGGGAGAGCCCUUCAAUCUCACAGACAGAGCCAUAAAAAGAGCUGGUGACUGGAAGCUGAUGCUGUUAAAUUCCAUCUGGGAAGGGUGUGCUUUAUGUUUGGGAGAAAUAACACCAGAACAACUUCCCAACAGAUGGUUUCAUCAUCACUGGCCAUUUCAAACUCAUGCUGGUUUUUUUCCUUUUUUUUUUUUUGUAAGCCAUAUCCUGGAUCCACCAAAAAUCACUGUGAAACAACACACAGGCACUCACACUGCAUGAAUGGGAUGGGCCUUUUUAGGGGUUUUAACCUUCCUAAUAAUGAGUAUUUAAGCCAUCAUCAAGCACUCAAGCACUAAAUGCAACCAUUCCCUUUCCCCAGAGUUAUUGGUCUGGCCUUGGUGGGUACUCAUGCAGACACCUCAGGGCUAUUGGUGCUUCAUCUUUGCCACUGCAGAAGCUGGAAAAGUCCUCUAAAACCCCAUAAAACGAGCCCAGCCUACAUCCCCCUGCUAUAAAAAUACCCCAAAAUGCAGUGCCAAAUGCAGUGCCAGAGGGAGCAGCUCAAAGCUCAAAGUACAUAAGGAACGUGCAUUCCAGUGGUUCAGUAAAAUCCUGCUGAUCCCCAUCUGCUGCCAUAGCCUGAUGGGCUUUUAAGGAAAUGGCCCAUCCCUGUCCCUUAAGAGUUGCUAAAAUUGUGAGUGGAAAAGGUGCAGUUUCAUAACAGACUCAUCUACACCCAGGAAAACACAGAAUGAGAGAGUGCUGCAAUCUUGGGGACUUUCUGCAAGAGUUCCAUCACAUCUCUGCUCUGGUUUGGAAGCUGCUGAAAUUUCCCCUUCCAUGGAAAAUACUCAGCAGAAGUCCCAGCUACAGAUCCCUCAGUGAGGAAACUCCAGGAGCCACACAUGGACUUCUCCUGGGACUGGUCUGAAAGACCCAGCUGAUAUUUUACUGUGCAUCCAGAUGUCCCUGGGGACCAGACAGAAUCAAUCCAGGUGUAAACUGGGACGCUGGGACCUUGUCUCUUCCCUUCUGCCCACAUCAAGGAGCAUCUGGGACCAUAUCUGUGGGUCCUGAGCUGUGCUGGAUUUACCUCUGGCAUGAUCCAAGCCAUUGCUGCUGUCCCCACCAGCUGCCACCUCUCUGCUGCUGUCACCACAGCUGAUAAUCCAGGUUAUCAGUGAGUGGGGAGGGGGCAGCACUGCAGGACAUGUCCUACCCUAACCCCCUCCCCACACACACCCCUUUGUGCCUCCUGCUCAGGGCAGAGAACAUCACCCAGAAACUUCUUCAGUAGUUUCAAUUCAGUCUGCCAGAGCCCUUUGCUCCUAAUGCCAUUUAAUCCAGCUCCUUGUUAGCCAGCCAAUAAGACUUUCACUGAUAUCAGGUUUUGGCCCAAGAACAGUGCAGAUCCUUUUGAACUGAACAUCUUAAGCACAACAUAUUUUGUCAGGAAAAAAAGCCUGAACCAGCAGAAACUCUUUUAAAGCCAGGGCAGCAUCAUUACCAUAGAGGCAAACACUAAUUUAAUGUGGUUCACAGUAACAACACACCAUUUAUUUAAAUACUUCACCCUUUAAUUUAUUCAGCAUUUUAUAUUGAAGAGUAUUUUCAUUAGGAUUCCUCUGCAAAACCGAAGAAGGCAUUAAAUCAUUUAAUAUACUGACAACUCGCUUAAUUUAUUUAAGCACAGGAGUCUAAUUCAAAAAAAGCCAGACCUUAUACAGAGGCCUGUCUUUGCAGCCCUGGCAUACAAGAGCCUAUUAAUUUCAGGGUAGUGCAUUACAUGAAUUUAUUUUGAGAUCCCAGGACGUGUUCUCCUCUGGUCAGCAGCCUGCUGUGGGGCUGCACCUGCCAGAGCUGCCUUUAGGAAUUCCUCCCAGUGCACACCAGUCCUGCCCCAUGGCCUUUGCUUCUGGUGAGCACCCAGCCCUUUGCAUUUGUCACCUGGCUGGGUUUGGUCCUUGGUGUGACACAGAGCGACCAGCACGGCUGGAGCAGCAGGGAAACAGAGGAAAUCAGCAACACUGGGGGCAUCAGUGAUGUCUUCGGUUUAAAUCUCAUUAAAUGGCACUCAGAGCACUUGGUAAAGUCUGGGGGAUCCACUGCAGUGCACCCCUGACUUGGCUGAUACUGAAUUAAGCAGACACACUCAUUUCUGUGGUGAGACCCCUGCAUCCCUGCUCUGAAGGUGCUGAGCAGCCUCAGGACUGUCCCCAGUUGUCACAUCAGAGCUCUCACACCCUGCCUGAAGCAAAUACUCCACUUGAUAUUCUGGGGGCUCAGCUCCUUGGGCAAUCCAGCCCUUGUGGCUUAUUACUGAUGUCCCCAGAUGUGCCAUAACAAAUGGCAGAGAAGAAAAUUGUCACCUGUGACAAAGCUCUGGGUGAUAUUGGGGUCCCCAGUGGCUCCUGGCUUGGCUGCUUUCCGAGAUUGGUGCUGAAGCAGAACCUGGCAAACAAUAGCACAUUCUCAAUAGGAUGCAGAGGGUGACAUUAAUAAACAUUAGGGGGUUUGAUAUGAUCAGGCAAAAGCAGCACAACGAAAUGAGGUACCAAAAGCAGGCUGGAGAGGAGGGGAAGGCACCUGAACAGGGUGUUUAAUGACUCACCCAGCUGAGAAAUGCAGCGCAGGGCAAGGCUGGGAGAGAGAACCUUUUAAUGAAUUCAACAUGUGUGCACCCUUUGAAGGCUCAGCUCCCCAUUCCCCAGUGGUGUUUGACCCACCUGAAGAUAUGGAUCGCACAGAAAAUAAUAACCAGUAAGUAAUAAUAAUAAUAGUAAUAAUAGGAAGAGCAGGACCUUCAUCUCCAAUUCAUAUUUAUAAUCCAGCAAAUAUCUCACCUAAAGCCACAAGAUUUAUGGGUUUGCAUCUAUAACUAAUAUCCUUCCUUAAGCAGGAAAGGGUACUUUUUCCUACAAAUAAAUCUGGUGCUCUAGACCUGGAUUUUGAAGACUAAUAUUUAAAUCCCCAGCAAGACACAGUUAUUGAUUGCAUAGAUGUAUACAACAAAGACACACCAUGCACAUUUAGAGAGAUAGCAUUGUACAGCUAUUUUAAAAAGAAAUAAAAGUUUCUCUUUUAAAUGCAAUAGAUUAAGCUUAAUCAGGUAAAAAAAGGAGGAAGAUGGGGAGGUUGGCUUGGUGUCUGCUCCAAGCUGUCCCAAUUUCCCAGAGAUUUCAUUUGCAUCAGGCCCUGGCUAAAAGCAGGGCUGGUCCUGGGCGCCAACACACAUAAAGUGCUUUGAGACAAAGGUAAUCGAUUUGGUUUUACUGUUAUGAGGAAAAUAAACAGUCAGGCUGAUAUAACAGUAAAAGGGUCAAACAGGGUCAGGGCUAAUGAAGUGACUUACGGCAGGUUGGAAUUAAAGCACCCUUCCUUUUCUCCAUCUUCCCCUCCAGGAGUGAUCCCUGUGAAUGCCCAAAAUCACACCUGUGGGUGACAGCAAAGCACCAGCUAAGGGUCAUUUGGGGCUGGGCACUGGACUUGCUUUGGCUGAAGGUUUCCAUGGCCAGCAGCACCUGCUGAGCUAUGGAAAACUCCAACCAAGAAAAGCGCUGCCCUUCAGCUCCACAUCAUGGACCACAGCCACUGCACUCAAUCAGGGAGGCUCAAAGGUGCCCAGAAUCAUCACUCCAGAGCUGAACUGGCACUUUCACUGGUGGUUGGAGGGUCCCUUUUUCCUCAGGGGUUUCUUUUCACUUUUGUGAGUUGUAACGAGCAAAGUGGGAACGUGCUGGGUAGGGAGCCAAACCUAGGAAAAUACAGCUUCUCUGGAGCAAGCAUGGAUAUAGCUGAAAAAAUAUCGAGAAUUACUGGAAAUUUAAAUGUAGGCACUCAACCAAGGUCAAGGGUGGAAGCAUCACCUCACUUAGUGGUGAACUUAGCAACAGAGGUAAAACACUGCUGCUGUUCUGUAUCUAAAGAGUAAAGACAUGAACAGAGCCCAGACACUUGUAUUUAUACUGUCCUAAGGCAUAUAACACCCCCAUUUAAUGAAGAUUUUAGUUAGUCAUGUUUAAAUACUAUUAAUAAAAAAAUUUAAAAAUGCUUUUAUGCACUCAGUCAUUUAAGGAACUCAUCAGUGACUGCAUGUGAAAGACUCAUUCAAACCUCAUGAGAAAAGAGUUUCUUGUCUCCAGAUUAUGGGCUCCCAGAAGGGAGAUUAUGCCCAGGGGAAGGAAGGAAUUGGCAAUAACACUUGGGUGGUGCCGCAGAGGUGGUGAGCCCCCAGGCUGGCUGGCUGCACCUUCCUUUGGGGAGUCAGCUCCAUCACCCAUGGAUUGGAGAUAGUCCUUCCCCCAAAUGUUACAUUCAAGUGUCACAAAGCCUCUGUGGAAGAAGGGAAAACAAAAAGCAAAAGAAACCUUCUGGUGAGCAUCGUGCUGCUCCAAAACCUGGUGACCAUGGAGAAGCUUUCCCUACAGACAUGCUGUCCAACGCACACCCUUGUGAUUUUUAUCUCCGUGCAGAACAUGGGCUGUGGGUGCCCAGACACUGCUCUUCUCUGCAGCUCUGAAAAGGAAAAGAAAUUCAUGGCUGUUGCUCUGCAAGGCCUGUCCCAGAACUCUGCAAGUACCAGUAGCACAGAGGCUUGGGAAGCUGCAACCACUGUGGGGUACUCAGCCAAGGCAGAGCUUUUGUGCAACUUGGUUUUCAUGAUUUAGCAUUCCUGCUGUAAAUAAUUGAUACUAAUGUAAGUGAGAUAAGAGACAGACUGUCUGUGGGCUGGGAGGAAGUGGAUCCUGGUGACAUCCACCAGGAAAUGUGCUCGCGGAUUUGUCUGAAAUAAAAACGUUGAAAAGGCAAACAUGAUGUCCGAGCGGUGGGGAGGGAGCAGGGGUGGGAAAGGUAAUCAGUGAUCAGCCCCAGCAUUCUCAUCUCUCUAAAGAAAAAGCUACCACUAAUAAUUUCCUUAAUAAGAGAAUUCCUGCACUAGCUAGCACUUCCUCUCUCCCUGAACAUGGCUCUCUCACUAGUCCAUAAGCUGUGUUCCUGCAUUGCCAGGGAGCUGGGUGGGUGUUAGCACAAUUUAAGGAAUUAAAAUGUCAUUAAGGGGGUGCAUGGAGCACAGCCUUCCUCGUCGGACACCAUGCCAGCAGGAAAAUGCCAGUGAGCUCAGCGUAUCUGAUGCCUUUGGCUUAGGUUAUCUACAACCAGCUGAGUACCAGGAAGGAGCUCUCCUGAAUCUCAGGCUCUGAAACUGGAGAAGGCAGAAUUAUAUCUCUGGUCCUGCGCGGGCGGCCGUGAGACGGGCGAUGGAGACAAUCCUGCUGGGUGGGGAAGGGGAGAUUUCCCUGCUGGGAACCUUG